UACGGAGGGGGCAAGCGUUAUCCGGAAUCACUGGGUUUAAAGGGUGCGUAGGCGGCUAGAUAAGUCAGAGGUGAAAGUUUGUCGCUUAACGAUAGAACUGCCUUUGAUACUGUUAAGCUUGAAAGUAGGUGAGGUUGGCGGAAGGUGACAUGUAGCGGUGAAAUGCAUAGAUAUGUCAUAGAACACCGAUUGCGAAGGCAGCCGGCUAAACUGACUUUGACGCUGAGGCACGAAAGCGUGGGUAGCGAACAGG
rnacentral:rRNA from 1 species